rnacentral:tRNA from 1 species
AGCCCGGUGGUGUAGAGUUUUAAAGACGCAGAGCGGCCAAGCAUACGGGGCUCUGGACCCCGGGACCCCAGUUCGAAUCUGGGCCGGGCUACCA